rnacentral:rRNA from 1 species
CUGCAGCCCGAGUGGUGAUCGAUUUUAUUGAGCCUAAAGCGUCCGUAGCCGGACUAGUAAACCCUUGGGUAAAUUGGGCAGCUUAACUGUCCAAAUUCCGAGGGGACUGCUAGUCUUGGGACCGGGAGAGGUCAGAGGUACUCAAGGGGUAGGGGCUAAAUCCUGUAAUCCUUUGGGGACCACCAGUGGCGAAGGCGUCUGACUAGAACGGAUCCGACGGUAAGGGACGAAACCCUGGGGCGCGAACCGAAUUAGAUACCCGAGUAGUCC